UUUUGACCUCAAAUCAGGUAGGACUACCCGCUGAACUUAAGCAUAUCAAUAAGCGGAGGAAAAGAAACUAACAAGGAUUCCCCUAGUAACUGCGAGUGAAGAGGGAAAAGCUCAAAUUUGAAAUCUGGCAGUCUCUGGCUGUCCGAGUUGU
rnacentral:rRNA from 1 species